CUGGUGUCAGCCGCCGCGGUAAUACCAGCACCUCGAGUGGUCAGGACGUUUAUUGGGCCUAAAGCAUCCGUAGCCGGCUCUGCAAGUCUUCGGUUAAAUCCACCUGCUCAACAGAUGGGCCGCUGGAGAUACUACAGAGCUAGGGAGUGGGAGAGGCAGACGGUAUUCAGUGGGUAGGGGUAAAAUCCUCUGAUCCAUUGAGGACCACCAGUGGCGAAGGCGGUCUGCCAGAACACGUUCGACGGUGAGGGAUGAAAGCUGGGGGAGCAAACCGGAUUAGAUACCCGGGUAGUCCCAGCUGUAAACGAUGCAAACUCGGUGAUGCAUUGGCUUAUGGCCAAUGCAGUGCCGCAGGGAAGCCGUUAAGUUUGCCGCCUGGGAAGUACGGACGCAAGUCCGAAACUUAAAG
rnacentral:rRNA from 2 species